AUUGAACGCUGGCGGCAGGCUUAACACAUGCAAGUCGAGGGGUAUAGGUUUUCGGACCUAGAGACCGGCGCACGGGUGCGUAACGCGUAUGCAAUCUACCUUUCACAGAGGGAUAGCCCAGAGAAAUUUGGAUUAAUACCUCAUAGUAUAGCAGUUUCGCAUGAAACCACUAUUAAAGUAUCAACGGUGAAAGAUGAGCAUGCGUCCCAUUAGCUAGAUGGUAAGGUAACGGCUUACCAUGGCUACGAUGGGUAGGGGUCCUGAGAGGGAGAUCCCCCACACUGGUACUGAGACACGGACCAGACUCCUACGGGAGGCAGCAGUGAGGAAUAUUGGUCAAUGGACGCAAGUCUGAACCAGCCAUGCCGCGUGCAGGAUGACGGUCCUAUGGAUUGUAAACUGCUUUUGUACGAGAAGAAACAACAUUACGUGUAAUGUCUUGACGGUAUCGUAAGAAUAAGGAUCGGCUAACUCCGUGCCAGCCGCCGCGGUAAGAC
rnacentral:rRNA from 1 species